UGUGUAGGCGGUUGUUUAAGUUUGGUGUGAAAUCUCCCGGCUCAACUGGGAGGGUGCGCCGAAUACUGAAUGACUUGGAGUGCGGGAGAGGAGAGUGGAAUUCCUGGUGUAGCGGUGAAAUGCGUAGAUAUCAGGAGGAACACCGGUGGUGUAGACGGCUCUCUGGACCGUAACUGACGCUGAGACACGAAAGCGUGGGUAGCAAACA
rnacentral:rRNA from 1 species